GGGGGUGUAGCUCAUACGGUAGAGCGCUCGCUAGUCGCUUCGCAUGCGAGAGGCACGGGGUUCGAUUCCCCGCAUCUCCA